CCCACUUAUCCCACAACCAUACCAAACCUAACUCCAACCCCUACAACCAACCCAAGUUUUCCUUCAUAUCCACAUCACCUUCAUGACCCAUCAUACAACCCACCACCAAUUUUCACCUAUCCACCUUACUCUUCAUACCCAAACAGCACCGCAUCACCCUCACCAAACCAUUACACAUCAUACACAACUUCUCCAUCUGAUUAUGGAUAUUCAAAUCACUACAACUACACCCAACACCCAUCAUACCACACACCAUUUCUUCCUCAACAACCAAAUCAGACUCCUAAUUCCAACUAUUCACAACAUAUUACAACAUUUCACACUGCAGAUCAACAGAUUUCCUC
rnacentral:lncRNA from 1 species